rnacentral:sRNA from 1 species
UUUUAACCCCGAUUGAAGCGGUAUCCUUUUAUGGUUUUGACAAAAACUAUAAAAGAUAUAGCGAAAAGCGGGAAUAGGG